GUGAGGGGAGAGGGAGGGAGCAGUUCCAGCAGAAGAAGCAGGAACUUCAGGGGAAGUUGGCAUAGGCAGAGUCAGCUGCAGACACAGAAGGGAAAGCUGGGUUGACUGCCUCCUGUCUACCUGAGCUGCCAACAUUUUGCUGUUGCAGAUGUCUCAAGACUCCUGUACUUGUUUCACUUGGUAAAGGUAAAGGUAAAGGUACCCCUGCCCGUACGGGCCAGUCGUGUUCGACUCUAGGGUUGUGCGCCCAUCUCACUUAAGAGGCCGGGGGCCAGCGCUGUCCGGAGACACUUCGGGGUCACGUGGCCAGCGUGACGAAGCUGCUCUGGCGAGCCAGCACCAGCGCAGCACACGGAAACGCCGUUUACCUUCCCGCUAUAAAGCGGUACCUAUUUAUCUACUUGCACUUAGGGGUGCUUUCGAACUACUAGGUGGGCAGGAGCUGGGACUGAAAGACGGGAGCUCACCCCGCCGUGGGGAUUCGAACCGCCGACCAUACGAUCGGCAAGCCCUAGGCACUGAGGUUUUACCCACAGCGCCACCUGCGUCCCUUCUUGUUUCACUUACAUAGCUUCAAAAAAAGGGGGGGAGAAAAGAAAAGAAAAGAAAAGAAAAGAAAAGAAAAGAGGAAUGGAUUUUAGCUCCAAUGAGCAGAAUAAAUUCUUAUGUCCUAAAUUCCCCACUGUUCUAAGAAGUCAGAACUACCAGGGGUGCAGUUAUCCCUGGGUUUGGCUUCCUUUGGAAGGCCACCUCGAGAGUUAUUGUGAUUUCCUAAUAUUUGUGCUUCCUUAAAAAAUAUACAUACUUUGCAUGUCCACUGCAAUUCUGUCCCUUGCUGCUUUUCACACAAAGAUCUGAAGAUGGAAAUAAUAAUAAUAAUAAUAAUAAUAAUAAUAAUAAUAAUAAUAAUAUAGUUAUUAUUUCUUACAUCCUGCCUUCCUCAUAUACAGCAUAGGGUGGCUAACAAAAUCUAAAAUCACAACACUAGAACCAAAAUAUAAAAUGCAGUACUCAACAUUUUAAACAAUCAGAAAUAUAGUUAUAUCACUCUUUGACUUUUGCCUAACCUUCUGGGACCAUUUUAGUUCCCACAAAGUCAUGUCACCUGCAUAGUAUCAGCUGUCAACUCCUGUUUAGUCAGGGCUGAGCUGCUGGCCAGGUCUUCCUCCAGGGCAACCCACAAUGAUUCUUCUCAGGAAUCUGUUAGGGAACCCAUAAGGGGAAAAAACCAAUGGAGGCUGGUCUAUUAGAAUUAGAACUUAGCCUGCCCUUAGCCAGGCCCCACCUGUCUGACUUCUUAUUUGCAUCCAGUUCAGAGAAGCCCUGCCUAUCAACUUCUACCUUAGUGUCAAAGUUGCCCUUGCAAAACUGAGCAGGGCCGAGGAUGGGGACAAAACUAGAAUGAGUUGUGUCCUUGGCUCUGCCUCUGCUUUCUGUCAGUCUCCCAGCCUUUCCUCCUACUAGUCCCAAUAAGCACCACCCACCAUUGCUAAUAUAUGCAUUUUAAUGCACAUUUUACCCUAGUAUAUGUAUUUUUGUACAUAGCUUGUGGCUGGAGAACUGCAUUGCAAAAUUCGGAGAGCUGCAAAUUUCAAAAAAUGUGUUUCAGUUCAUGCAUUUUUUAAAAGUAUGUAUUGGUUAGAUUUGUAUUUAAAUGUGAACUCAAUCAAAUUUCUCCCCAUUCCUAAUACCUCUAAAUGGGAACACUGGGAGAAAGAGUGAUAGUUUUCAUGUCCCAAAAGAUAGCUGAUUGGGCACUGUGGCAAACAAGAUAGUGGAUCAUUUUUUAUCUGAGCUAGCAGGGCUCUUCACAUGCUAUUGCUGAGCUGCUGGGUCCCCCUAAUAAUUUUGCCUGCAAUAGCCAAACAAUGCUCCUCAAAACCUUUCAGUUAUGAAACCCUUUAGUAAUGAAGGUGCAUCUUCAACAUUCCUUGAAAUUGCACAAUUAUUCCCAACUCCAGGAGUUCCAUCAGUGUCUAAGAAAUUAGCUUUCACUUCAUUAUAUCUAGCCCCCUGUUGCUUCACCUGUGGCUUCCUUUCUUUUGUAAGAUGAAUGUAAAAUAUUACUAGCAAGCAUAGGCAAACCGAAACUUCAGAUGCAUAUUUCGCAUCUCAAAUCCCUCUAUUGGAAAAGUAUCAACCAAUACCUCCACAAUGAUUUUAAUGACCUUGGUAGCUUUGAACCUGCCAAACCGUCAACAUCUUGAAACUUUUUUAUCACCUGUCAACAAAUUUAUGAUGACAAAUUAUGACAAUAAAUUUAUGGUCUAUUGUCAAAACAUAAACAAGAUGGAUUAUUCUGACAGAUUCAGAAGCUUGGUUUUGCUCUAUUUCUCAGCUGGAGACGUGGCUAAUGAAUGGUGUUUAUUGUUGUUUUGUGGCUUAUUGUUUAUUGCUAUUAAUGUUAACCAGCAUUGCUUCAAAUCAAUUAUCUGAAGAGAAUUUCCUUUUAGAUAGAAUAAGGGAUCUCCCCUCAUUCCAAUACUCCUUACUAGAUGUUGCUUUACCCCUUUUCAGAGCCAUGCCAUGCAAUCUUCUGCAUGUCUACUCUGAAGGAAAUCCUAUUUAUGUACUCCCAUGUAAAUAUUUGUGGGAUUGCAGCCUUAGCACCAUUACAUAUUGAAUAAUUUAACUGCAGUCCUAAGGACCAGUUAAAUAGUGUUUCAGCUUUUGUAAUGUAAAACAGCUCCGUUUUAUCUGGAUAAUGGCCAGAUAGGAAAGUGAAACCUCUGGUCCAUGGAGCAAACUUGGCCCUCCAGGCUGUCUUUCCCAAACCACACCACCUGCCCAUACCUGAGGACGUAUGUGAUGUCUGGUGUUGGACAGGUAAGGUAAAGGGACCCCUGACCAUUAGGUCCAGUUGUGGCCGACUCUGGGGUUCCGGCGCUCAUCUCGCUUUAUUGGCCGAGGGAGCCGGCGUCAUUUGGCCAGCAUGACUAAGCCGCUUCUAGCGAACCAGAGCAGUGCCCGGAAAUGCCGUUUACCUUCCCGCCGGAGUGGUACCUAUUUAUCUACUUGCACUUUGAUGUACUUUCGAAAUGCUAGGUUGGCAGGAGCAGGGACCGAGCAACAGGAGCUCACCCCGUCACGGGGAUUUGAACUGCCAACCUUCUGAUCGGCAAGUCCUAGGCUCAGUGGUUUAACCCACAGCACCACCCACGUCCCUUGUUGGACAGGUAGAGAUAUAGAAAAGUUUUGGAAAGCAAAAUGAUCGAGGGGAUAGAAUGGCACCCAUAUGAAAAAAAAGUUGCAGUGUUUGUGACUUUGGGGUUUAGAGAAAAGUUGAGCAAGUGGUGACAUGAUGGAAGUUAAAAAAACAACCAAUGGCAUGGAUGAAGUAUGUAUGGAUAGAGAAAACCCCCUUUCUCUUAUAACACUAGAACUCAACAUCCAUAAAUGUUGGGAGAUUUAAGGCAGAUAAAAGAAAGUACUUCUUCAUGUAGAGUGUAGCUAAACUAUGUAACUUGUUCCCACAGGAGGCAGUGAUGGCCAGCAACCUAGAUGGCUUUGAAAGAGGAUUAGAUAAAUUCAUGAAGGAGAUAGCUAUCGGCAACUAGUAGCCAAAAUGGCUGUCCUCUGCCUCCACAGUUUGAGGCAGCAAUGUUUCUGAAUUGAAAUUGAAAUUGAAAUACUUUAUUGUCACUUGUACAACUUGUAUACAGUGAGAUUACACGGACACCCCCCACUCAGCUCUCUUAGUCUUAAUUCCCCUCGUUUACUGACGCACACCCACCAACCCGAAAGUCAGUUGCCCUGUUGUUAUCUUUACAUUCAGCAGCCAAACAUCCUAUGGAUAGAAGCUGUUCUUUACUAACUAAAGAACUAAUCAUGCUUCUAUAUCUUCUGCCUGAGGGCUGGAGAUCAAGAAAGUGCUGGCCAGCAUGUGAACCAUCCCUGAGAAUUUUCCUCACUCUCCUGAGGCAACGUUCUUCCGCUAUUUCAUCCAGCGGAUUCACAGGACAGCCCAUAAUAUCUUGUGCUGUAUUCACCACCCUCUGUAGGCACUUCCUAUCAGUUGAUGUCAAACCAGCGUACCACACUGUGAUGCGGUAUGAAAGGACACUUUCUAUUGUGGACCGGUAGAAGGAGAUCAUCAAAUGUUGAUUCCAAAAAGAAUACCAGUUGCUGGAAACUACAGGAGGGAAGAGUGCUCUUGUGCUCAAAUCCUGCUUGUGGGUUUCUCCCCCCAGGCAUCUGGUUGGCCACUAUGAGAACAGGAUGCUGGACUAGAUAGGCCAUUGGCCUGAUCCAGCAAGCUCUUCCUGUGUUCUUACAUGGCUGGAUCAGCUUCUCGCAGAGCCAAUUUCUGCAGAACUCAGGAUUGAACUUCUUGUGCAAAAGUAAGUUUGUUGGGAUUUAAGUGUACAACCGAGGAGACACAAGCUAAAAUCUGUACUCUAGCCAUGAGCUUUGCUGAGAAACCUUGAGAUACUCACUAUCUCUCAGCCUAACAUGCCUCACCAGGGGUGGCGUGAGGCUAAAAUGAGAAUGAGAGGAUUCCUAUAACCUGGCUUGGAGGCUUCAUUGGAGGAAAAGGGGCAUAUACUGUAUUUUUCCAUGUAUAAGACACCCCCAUGUAUAAGACAACCCCCUUUUUUUUUUAACCCUAAAUUAAGAAAAUGCACUGUGCACUAUCUGUGUAUAAGACAACCCCUUAUUUUAAACUUCAACAAUUUAGAAAAAAAUAUAGUCUUAUAAACAGAAAAAUACGGUAAAUGUAAUAAAUAUAUACAUAAAUCUUGUAUAUACACAUAUGAUCUGGGACUGCUGUCUUAGAAUGCAAUCCUGCUCAUAUCUCCUCAAGAAUAAGUUCUAUUAACCUUGAUGGGGUUUACACACAGGUAGGGUUGCAGCCUUGUUUAUUGAAACCAAGCUAAAUCUUUCCUAUAUGUGGAAAUUCCCUUCAAUAUGACUUUUCCAAGUAUCCUGCAGUCCUUGAACUAAUUUCAUAGGUAUUUUUUUCCAAGCUGAAGACAAUUACCCCACACACACACGCACUGCAAAUUGUAUUUAAAACCACUUGUCAGACAUCAUAGGCUCAAUCCUGCCACAGUUAGAAAAACACAAAUUGUAAAUGGAGGAGAACCACCUGUAGCUAAUAAAAAAAUAAUCACCUAUUUUCUAGGAAAUCAGUCUUUCAAUUAUCCAUCAAUCACUGGCCUCAGAAGUUUGGCUAUCUAAUAAUGUAUCUGCUUUUUGUCAGGGAAUCCUGCCAGAACCGCUCUUGUUGCUGAUAUAGAUAUGAAAAACAGACAUCAGACACUGAGCGUUUCCCCCCUGCCCAUGUCUGCAAAAAGAUUUUCUGUGUCUGAAAAGUUCUUCCUGUUCUGAGUCCAAGGAAAGGCCAUUGCUGUUAAAUAGUAUGAGGCAGGGUAGCAACGCAACUGUUAGGAGAUUUUCUUCUGCAGUGGGGAAGCACAGCAGGGAGAAGUUCAGCCCCAACAUUUGAGUGAGGGGUCAGGUAUUGAGAGCAGAGAUGGGCAAAUCCCACCAUUUUGAUUUCCCUGUUUCUCAUUUUUCCAGUCAUCGGUUUGGUUCUCCACCUUUUCACAUCAGUUUGCAAUGCAGGAAAUACUCAUAAAAAUUCAUCAACACUUUAGUAUGAAUUUAUUCUAAUAUACACAUUUUCUUGUGUAGCUCUUCCGAAUAUAAUGCAAUUUUGCACAUUAUUUUCACAUAUACAUUAACAUACAGUUUACCCUAGAUAAUGCACUUCUUUGUACACCUUACUUAGCUGGCAAACUAUAUUGCAAUAUCUGGAGAAAUGUGAAUUUUGAAGAAUGUCUGUGUUUUGGUUUCAUUUUGUUUUGGAAAAUGUGAAUUAGCUACUUGAAGUGCAGACUGAAUCAAAACCCUCCCCCAUAGACUCAUAGGCAGGUGUUGUCCAAUGGGCCCCUAGGAACUGUGGUUUGAAGAACUAUUUCGGAUUUCCCCCCAAAAUGAAAUGUCCUGUGGAUAGAAGCAAUUGUCCUCACUGGCAUCAAUGAAGCCCAGAUAAAGUGGUACCUCAGGUUACAUAAGCUUCAGGUUACAUACGCUUCAGGUUACAGACUCUGCUAACCCAGAAAUAGUACCUCAGGUUAAGAACUUUGCUUCAGGAUGAGAACAGAAAUUGCACAGUGGUGGUGCAGCGGCAGUGGGAGGCGCCAUUAGCUAAAGUGGUACCUCAGGUUAAGAACAGUUUCAGGUUAAGAACAGACCUCCAGAACGAAUUAAAUUCUUAACCUGAGGUACCACUGUAGUUGUUUUGGUGAUGGGGGCAUUUGCAGUUGCCUGGAGAUCUUGGGUGAUGGCACCAGGCCCCUGUGUGUGUCAGGCGGAUAGCAUUCAGAGCCGUAACUUCUCUGUCUACCUGUGUGCCAUGUGUCAGAGGAAGAGAAUCCCCAGUAUUUUUAUUUAUUUAUAAAAUUAUUUCUAUACGGCCAAAUCAUGAAAUAUCAGGAUGGUGUUCGGAAUGGAAAUCAAUUCAGUCAAUAGGUUUGGUAUUCACUGUUGUUUCUUUCAAUCCGUAAAUGGCAUGUAAUUGAUUACAUCCCUCCCCCUCCCCCCCAAUUUGCAUUGUGUUUCUUUUGAAUUUAAAUGAAUGGAGUGAAAUAACAUAAUGACAAUGAAAUUUACGCAAUUAAUUCCAUAACUAGUAACUUACAUAUGUUAUGUAAUUUCAGAGCGGGGGGGGGGGAGAGACAUUGCUGCAUGUGACAAAUACAGGGCAAAAUGAAAAACAGUGCUUUCUUACAUCCCUAAUUACUAGUACUUGUACUAUAUCCACUUCCGUAGCCUUCACGUAAAAUUGGGACUUAACAGACUUAGAUUUAAAUAUUCCAUGUCAAUCAACUUACAGAUUGCUUGAGCUGUCCUUUUAUUUCAUUGUCAUUUUCGCAUGUGGUUUAUGAAGAAUUAGAAAUGGACGAUGCUGACCAGGAGUGCAGAAUUUAUUUACUUUUGUAGCUUCCUGUAAUGCACGUGAGUGACAUGGUUUAUUGUAGGGCAGCCUGAUGCCAUGGUUGCUCAGAGACUUGUCACAGUUCCAGUGUUUGCAAUGGCAUUGCAUCAGGUCUGUUUGCACUGCCAAUACAACAUGGCGAUUUCCAACACUAUGCUGGCACAAUAGCACUUGCAUCUUGUAUUACGCAGUUGUUAGCUGGCUCCCCAAUGCUUGGGACUGGGCUGUGAGCCAUCUAGAUGCCUUAUCUGAAGAAUUCAGGAUAUCCCAUCGUACAAAUCACCGGGACAUGCCAGCUUUUCAGGCGAAUGUUGUUAUGCAGGACUGGAAUGUUAGGCUAUAUCAGUCUUCUCCAACCUGGGUGAACUCCAGACUGUCAGGAGGGAUUCAAUUGCAUACUGGAAAUUUUGGUUCCUGCAGUUAAAGUGAAUUAAAAGGCCCUGUUGCUCUGGCACAACAAAUCUACUUUUUAUUUUUAUUUUUUUAAAACAACAACAACAACAACAACACACUUCUCAAGGUUGAGGAAGUUGUUAAAUAGUGGGUAGACAUAGCAGACGAAGCAGCGAUUUCACCAAAGCAGCUCUUUAUUUGUAAGCUGGAACAGAACUGAACAGCAAACAGCUCAGCCGGCCUGCUUUUAUAGGCAGCCGGCUGUCAACAUUGUAGCAACAACAACCCAGGGUUUCCCGCCUAAAUUAACUGACGUGGACCUGAGUGAAAACUAUAUACACGAUACUCCUGGUGGCCAGGGUGAGAACUUCAAUACAUAACAGAAGUGUACCCUGCAAAUGAGAAGGUGUAUAACUUCUGGACAAGUCAGUCGGGAAGAAGGUUCAUUGUGGUGCAACCUCCUCAGGAAUAAAUCUGUAUGCCCUCCGAUUAAGCACUGUGCAAGCAAAUACAGAUGAAAGCUCAAUAAGCAAGUCGUCUGCAAUAAAAGUUUAAAUUAUUUUUGGGAAGUUUGUUCGCCAUGUCUUAGGACAUCUCCUAAGAUAUAAUGAAAUUUGGCAUGAUGGUAUGAGAUCAAAGAGCAGGGUGUAUAUUUUAAAUAUGAGAGCCAGUGUGGUGUAGUGGCUAAGAGCGGUAGUCUUAUAAUCUGGGGAACCGGGUUCGCGUCUCCACUCCUCCACCUGCAGCUGCUGGGUGACCUUGGGCCAGUCACACUUCUUUGAAGUCUCUCAGCCCCACUCACCUCACAGAGUGUUUGUUGUGGGGGAGGAAGGGAAAGGAGAACGUUAGCCGCUUUGAGACUCCUGAAGGGGAGUGAAAGGCGGGAUAUCAAAUCCAAACUCUUCUUCUUAAAUAUACAAUUAGAUACCAUUUUGAAUUAAAAUGGCAUACUGAACUGCAGUUUCAAGACUGCACUGAUUUUUCUGAGGAUUCCCAAGCAGCAACAGGAACAAGCCUUCAGCUAAUUCAUAACCUGUGACCCACCAAGCUGUACUCAGAGAUCCAACAUUUGAUAACUUAUAGUUUUCGGUAUCAUUCAGUGGGGCUAUUUCUACCUUUGCUCCUCUCCCUGUGGAUGGUCAUGUAGUGUGGCUGUGAUUAAAAUUGUACCCCUUCAUAUUUGUCACUUGCUUUGAGUCUGUGAAGGAGAGCAAUGUGGAAUACAAGUUUCAUAGAUGCAUGAACGGGUGUUCUUAUCCGUUUGGAAGGCCUUCAUUUUAGGCAGCUUGGCCCUGGAGCAGAAUAUUAUAAGAGCUGAUUAUCUGACCCUCCAGUUCAAUAAUUACUUGUGUGGUUUCUUUCAAUGAGGCACGGUCUGCAUGCAGGGACUACAUCUACUCAGUUCCAUGUGAAGAGCUGCUUAUGUGCAGCCAUCCCUGAAUAAGAGAUUGCCUGGCAAGAAAAUAGUCUGCUUUGCAGAAUACUGCACGAGGGACGCAGUGCACUGAAACAUAUUUAAUUAAGAGAAUACCCUUGCCAUGUAAGAAAGCAUAAAUUUGUUUCCCCUUUGAACUCCAGUCUCUCCACCUCCUCAUUCUAGAAACAUCCCAGCUGCAUUCUUUAAUACUCUGACAGUUUUAAGAAUUCAUUAUGGUCCAGCACAGCCAGCAGUCUAUAUCUAUUUACCUAGCUGUAACUUUAAAAAGGUUGCUUUCCCAAUGUGCAAUGGCAACUGGUAAUAAACUCCUCUGAGCUUGAGACAUGGGAACAUAGGAAACCGCUUCAUUCUGUCAUGGACUUCUCUCGUUUCACUCCAAUCCUCCAUAUUGGUUGCACUAUGUUGGUGCAAUGAUUUUAUUUUUUAAAAAUCCUCAUAGAGUUUAUGACAGAGUUUUGUAAGAGAAGCAAAUCUUCCAGGAUUGAGCAAGGCUUGAGUUUGUGGAAUUCUACCAGUGGUCUUGUGACAUUCCUGCAUUUGUGUUUUCAUUGAACAACGCCAUAAAUGGCAAGAAAUAUCAAAACACUUGAAAAAAAUCAAAAUUAUUACUGUUGGAAUACUGAUGGAUCAUUAUUCGAUCUGAAAGGUGAGGUCUGAGAAGCAUGAAGAAAUUAUUGUGGUUGUCAUCAGAAAGGUCCCUUUGGCAGCAGUAACUGAGCUGUGGCACUCACGUUGCUAAGCCAUUUCUCCAUACUUUGCAUAAGAAACAACAGGAGUAGCUUAAAUAUCAUCAUUAUAGUGGUCAGGGGACUGCUGAUUAUAGCAUUCACAUAUUUAUGGCUACAUCUGGGAUGAGAGGAUUUUCUUCUUUUGCAAUAGCUUGCUGUAAAGAAGGAAUUCCUUCAGUCAAAUCAUUGGCAGCUCGCACAGAAGUAAAACAGCGUUCUCUCUUGUGAAGUAUGGAAGGAGUCCAUUUGAAUUAUGAUCUAAUUUGUCUGCUUCUCUCAUAAAUUUUGCAUGCAAAAGAUCCUAGGUUCUGUUCCUUUCAUAUCCACCCAGAGCUGGAAAAAGCUUCUCUCUGAAACUUUGGGCACUCAGUCAAUGUAAAACAACAUCAAGCCACUGAACCAAUGGUCUGACUUGGCCAAGGCAGCUCCCAGUGUUUCUAAAGACUAGAACUUAACAUCAGUCUGUGAAAUGGAUUGGCAUUGGGUUCAGCAAAGAAACUGCUUCUCUGCAAAUUUUAUUUAUGAAUUUCAUUGCCACAAGAUGUAGUGGUGACUACUUGUUCAGAUAGCUCUAAAACGGGUGAAAAAAAAUCUAUGGAGGCUGUUAGCAAUAAUGGCUAUGUGGAACCUUCAUGUUCCAAAACAGCCACUGAAAAUUAACUGCUGGGAAGAAAUGGGGGCAGGCAGGGCAGAGAGCUGUGACAUUUAUAUUUCAAUUACAUGGGCUUCCUGGAAGAAUAUUGUUGGUCACUGUGGGAAACAGAAAGUUGGGCUAGAUGGACCUUUGGUUUGUUCCAGCAGGGGGCCAUCUUAUGUUCUUGAGGGACAUGGAAGCAUAUAAGCUGUUGCCCAGCGGACAUCAUGUUAUCUUAUUCUGGUGGAAUACUUGGCUGCUGAUUAUGACAAGGGAACAACAGUAGACUCAUUGGUUGGGGUGGAGCUGCUACGCUAGGUUCCUGGGAAAUGAGUCACUGCUGGUGAGCAGGAGGUGUAAGGCAACAGGGUGGUCAGCAUGGUGCAAAUGCCCUGGCAGAGCCAGUUUGCACCACACUGACCUUGCUGCCACCUCCUGUCUCCUCCUUCCUGGUCAGCAAUAGCAAUCUAUCUGCUAGGACAUUAGCAUUGUGUGUCUGCCACAUCCAAUGAGCUGCUUCUGCUCAUCCAGGCUCUCUUGUUAUUGGCUCUGCAUGUUACUGAUGACUUUGAUGUUUGCUGUGCAAGCAGCUGUUAGGAGCACAGAAAAAAAGUUUUCCCAUUAUUCCUCAUUCUGGUGUUCCUUUCUGUUUCUGGCUGGAUGUUUAAAUCACAGAUUCAUGGUUUUAGACAUGUUUUUCCUAAUGUUUCUUUCAUAUAUUUGUUUUAUAGUUUUGGCUCAGUCAGACCUUUUUUCCAAGAUGGCAGUAGAGAAAAUUGUUUGCCUGAGCCAAAACUGUAAACAAAAUAUAUUGGGGAAACACAAUGUCCUAGUUUUGUGCCAGUAGAAAUGGAAGAAUAUGUCAAUUUCAGUUUUUCUCAGUUUCUUGCUUUUUCCAAUCUUCACUUCACCAAAUUGUCAGCAUGUGGACACAUUUUUGUAUGCAGCUUUGCUUAAAAUAUACAUUUCUACAAGCUGUUCCUCCAAAUAAAAUGCGUUUUUGUGUGCUAUUUACACAGAUAUAUGCAUUUUAUGCACACUUUCCCCUUAAUAUACAUUUUUUUGUAGAAGUUAUUUGGCUAAGAAUGAAAUCACAAAAUUCAGAGAAAUUUGAAUUUCGAACAGUAGUUGUAUUUCAGUCCCCAUAUUGUUUCAGGAAGAGCCAAAUUAGCUAAAAUUUGAACCAAAAUGCAUUCUACCCCACUCCCCAUCCUUAGCUGUCAGUCAAACAUAUUCUCACUACUUAAUAAUUUUGUUUCCUUUACAUUCAAUUUCUUUCAAUGAAAUAACACUUCUAUAAGCAAAUUACUGCUUUCCAUAACUGAGCUCUGUAUUGAUGGGUGAGCUUGGCAUAAUAAUGAAAUGACACACAUUUGUCUCAGUGAAACACCUCACAGAUGAUAAAGUUUCUUUCCUGUUGAAGUCAGUGGCAUUAAUGGAGUUGGACUGUGGCUAUUGUAUACAUAAAAAAUAGUGAACUUAAAAUAGAACAAUAAUGUUUAUAGUGAAGGAUUCAAGUGAUUCGUACUAGCUAAAGGCAUUGAGACCUAAGUACAGUGGUACCUCGGGUUACAUACGCUUCAGGUUACAUAUGCUUCAGGUUACAGACUCCGCUAACCCAAAAAUAGUGCUUCAGGUUAAGAACUUUGCUUCAGGAUGAGAACAGAAAUCAUGCUCCAGCGGCGCGGCAGCAGCAGGAGGCCCUAUUAGCUAAAGCGGUCUUCAGGUUAAGACCAGUUUCAGGUUAAGAACGGACCUCUGGAAUGAAUUAAGUACUUAACCUGAGGUACCACUGUACCUAAUAGAUCACCUCACUAGUAAGAACCACUUCAAGCCUUAUGGCUGGCAAGGGAGGCCCUGUUAGUGUUGGUACUGUUGAAUGUUGCCCGACUGCGAAUGUAAUGACAGGGCCUUCUCAAUAUGGUUCCCCAUUUAUAGAAUGCCCUCCCUGGCGAAGUGUGUCUUUCUCCCUCAUUAUUAAUAUCAGGAGGAAUUUUAAAACAUCCCUGCCCUUUCAGAAAAGGAAUGGAAGGACCUAUCAAUCUCUCGAUUUCUCAUUUUCCCCAUUUUAAAUUCAGUUCUCCACGUUUACAGCAAUCUUACCCUGUUUAUGUCGUGAUUUUUAAGGACAAAUCCUUUUUUUAAAAAAAAAAAAUGCAGUCUUACACGGUUGGAGGCUGUACAUACAAGGUGGUUUGUGGGCUACCUUUUUCUUCCUUUUAAGAAAAUAUCUGAAAGUUGCUUGGGAGAGUGGCGCCACGUGAAUGAAAUCUAUUUUUAAAAUGCUCCAGGAAGUGAGUGUACUUCAUAAUAUGCCAAUCUCUUACUGGAUAAUUUACAGGGGUGGGUGAGAGAUGGCUGCCUUUACAAUUUCACAGGAAGGGGUUGCACACUAUGAGGUACAGUCACUUCCUGGAUCAUUUAAAAAUAGUUUUUACCUGUGUGGCCCAACACUGCUGGGCUUCUCCAGGGAGCUUUAGCAUGCUGGCUUAAAAAGAGAAAACGCAGCCCUGGUACCACCUCUUAGGACAUUUGAUGUAUACUGUUCUAGGCAACCUUGAAAUUGCUAGCUGUGAGGAUAUAUGAUCAUUUUUCAAAUGUUUUCAGGUGUCUUAUUUAUUUAUUUUUCAAUUGUAGCAUUUGGCUGGCUUGUUGUUUGGCACCCUGGGCUCCUUUGGGAGGAAGGGCAGGACAGAAAUUUAAUCAAUCAGUGAAUAAUAAUAAAAACUGCUUUUCUGUGUUUACUUGCCUCUCGCCUGGAUUUCUGUGAUGAUAUAUAAUUUGAUUUCUAGUCACCCUCCCCCGGCUCAAUGUUUGCAAAUUGGGAGAGAUCCGUGAAAGAGGUUGAUGUUUUUUCUUGCCUUUCCAGCUGAAAGACGGAGAUAAAUCCAUAUCGAUAUUCAUGUGGAAGACUGUUUUUAAGUACAAUAAACCCCGCAAAGUGGCACUUAAGGAUGCAAGCCAGUGCACAGUUUCUUGGACUAAGCUGCAUUGAACACAGUGGUUCUAGCCUCUGUACACAAAGGAUUGUACCACAGCUCACUAAUUAUUCCCAACAUGUCUUUCUAGGCAAGAAACGCAUUUUAGAAAACAGAAUAUCAGGAGUUUGGUGGUUUUUUCAACUAAACUUGAAAUGGGAACAAGUGCGAAAUGAGAGCCCAUCUCUCAGAUACCAUCAGAAGCAGGUGCUCCCUGGAAACAAGGCUGGAAUACUGCAGUCUAACACAUUUCUUGCUCUAUUAGCUUUAUAGGCUUGGCUCAGAUAAAACAGUCUAUUCUAAUCAGCUGUUUAAACAAGACAAAUGGAAACCAUAACAUAUCUACACGCAGCAUAAGAUAUUGAUUUCAACCAUGGCUGCCCUCCUUGUUACAGGAUACCAGUAAUUGCACCUACUUGCUCAGCUCAAUGGAUGCAGGGUAGUUUUGCGAUCAUUUAUGGCUAUCCUUUAAACUGCAGCAUAGGUAGAUUUUUGCAUUGAUCUCUCCGGGGCUAAAUUGCAGGAGACCCUUUAGAUAGAUCAAUUUGGUACAUUAGUGUAAAAGGAGAAAGAUAGGAAAUGGGACAAAACAGGUGGUUUUAUCUCCAUAUGCAGGGGUAGCCAAAGUGGUGCCCUCUGGAGAACAUUAAAUGUCAAGUCCUAUCAGCCCCACCAACACUGGUCAAUGAUAAUGGGAGUUGUAGUCCAACAACAUCUAAAGGGUAUCUCGUUGGCUUUCUAUUGCUUUAAGGGGAUAUUUUAAUCUGGCCUUUGGUCCAUCAACUCUCAUAUUCUACUUUCCAAUUGGCAGCGAUUUUCUGGACCUCCUUCCCAGUAUUGCUGCAUGAGCUAUUUCAAACAGAGACUAAAUUUGUGGACCUAUAUGUGCAAAGGAUGUGCCCUUCUUUAUGCCUGAUCGAUGGCACCUUUCUGCUCAGAUUGUUAUGGACACAGCCUACCACAGUCCAUUUCAAACAGAUGUUAGGUGGGUUCUUCUGCUUCAUUUGGUCCUGCACUAUGUCAGUGAAUGAUGGCUUCAGACAUUACAUUAUGAAGACAAAGCAAGCACUGGAAUCACCCACAUUCCUUCUUUCUACUCUACAUGGGGGCAUCCACAAAGGAGAGAUUACACACAUCUUCCUCUGCAGAAAGGUACUUGAAGAGCUCAGCCUGCAUCAAAGGCUUGCACAUCUCACAGCUGACCUCUUUGGAUACUGCAAUGCAAGGCACAAAGUGCAAUCCCCGGGGAGUUGUUCACUCCCCUCCCCACCAGGCUUGUAACAUCCGAAACUGUGUUGGGUGCAGAAAAAGCACAUAUCUUAUUGCAAGCUUUGCCAAAAUGCCCCCAUCAGAGACUAAAUGCAGAGUCGCUUUAGAAAAGGGUUCCACACACUGCUGUGCAGCACUGCCAGCAAAUAUCAAAAUAUAUUAUUAAAAAAAUGAUUUACUUUUACUGUUCACUUCCCAGAGCUGUGAUAAUAUAACUGCUUUUUCAGCUACCUCAUCUUGGAUGAAAUUCAUUCCAGCUGCCAAGGGACCCAUCUGUGGAUGCUUAUUCUCGAAGAGCUUUUCUUUGUAGGAAUAUUCCUGCAAGAUUUCCUGAUGCCUUUAGAUGCUGUCAUUGCCAAUUUGUGGCUUGUGGGGGCGGGGCACCCUCCUCCAUCGAAGACUCACGGGAUAUUCGUUUUAUAUAGCUGUGUGCUUGAACGAUCCUUUCUCCCCGUCACAGUAUAAUGCUUCCAUAAAGAUAAUGUAUAAUGUUGCUUGUCAAAUGCAGAUGGGUGACUGGACGUACCCUAAUAUGGAAUUAAAUGAGAAUUCUUGUUGUUAUUUUUACCUUUGGCAUGAAGACUUGGCUUAGACCCCAUAAUGCUUGCUAAAGUUUUUCUCCUGGCUGAGGGUAAUCAGUAGCAAGAGCUAUGAGAAUGUAUUGUUCAAGAAACCUUCCCUCAGCAUUUUAAUUGAAUGAAAUCUUGAUAUGAUAUUUAGCCAAAGGCGGGGCAGAAGAAGCUUCUUGCAGAGCACUCAUAACACUAUUCAGUUCCUUAUUACCACAACAUUUUCCUCUGGAACUCCAUACCACAAGCUCAUUAUGGGACAAAAGGAAGGGAACAUGGCAGCGACAAAGUUACUCCUGAAAUGUGACUAGACUCAACAGAGCCAGGUUGUGUCUCUGACCUAACUAUCCAUGAGGACCUAUUCUUUUCUUGGUUGGCAUUUCAUUAUAUGAUAUUCUUUAAUAACAUAAUGUUACCUCAUACAGUCCUUUGCAUUUGAGGGGAUAAUAUGGGAUCGUGAGGUGAAAGUAGACAUUUAGCAAUUUAGCCAGAAGGCCACAGCGUUCUAUUCACCAAAGGUAACUCCUAUUAACAGUGUUCCAAACAUGGUGUUUAAAGAGGUUUAGCAUGUUGCUGUAGGCAUAAGAGAGCAGAGGGCACACACUGCAAUAGCAAGAGUCUGGCUAAUUGAUGGCUGAAGGUACAGGAAUCAAGGAAAACGAAUUAUUAUAUUGUACCCUGAGGCUUACAAGGGAAGCCAGCAAGAUCCGUACAACAAAGGGUAAGAGAAAACAAGACUGAGUUGUGUGGGGGGAAAUAAUAAUCAAAGUCUGCACUACACAGUAACUGAUCUUUAAUCUGACAAAUCCACAUGGUUUCACGGACCACCAAGAAUAGCCUUUGCCAACCUGGUGCCCUCCUGAUGUUUUGGACUGCAUCUACCACUGGCUCCAGCUAGCACAGCCAUUGUGGGGGCUGAGCUGUGAGCCUCCAGGUUUUGGAGUCAGGAAAGUUUCCCUAUUUAUCUUCACAGUGGGGCCCAGGCAAUGGGUCUGUGCCUUGUCAUGCCCUUUGGCUGGACAAGGUUUGCCUCACCCAAGUCAGUUAACUUAGAAUAGUUUCCCACAGAAGUCUGCCAUAAUAUAUGUUAUCGGAGUUCAAGCCAUUUCCUGUUUCUUAACUCUUUGUUCCUGGUUCUGGUCACAAGACUUGACUCAAAACAUGGGAAUUCCAUUUAGCCAGUCAGUUCCAUUGCUCAGGAGCCAGGUGUUGUAGCCAGAAGUUGCUGAACUACAAUUUCCAGCAGCCAUAGCUUGCAUAAUCAGUUGUUAGGGAUGGUGGGAGUUGUAGUUCAGCAACAACUGUAGGGCUGCAAGUUCCCCAUCCCUACCAUAGUUAUUAGCUGGGGAUAUAUUUAUUCUCUAUGGCAACCCUUCCAACCUGGUGCCAUACAGAUAUUGGACCACAGCUCCCAUCAUCUCUGAACAUUUGGCUGGGCCUGAUGGGAGUUAGAAUCCAGCAUAAUCUGGAGUUGGUGAAGGCAGUGGCGAAGCUGCAUGCUCCGCUACCAGGAGUGGAGAGCAGGCGGGGGCAUGGUGCGCGCCCGGGGGCAUGGCACGCCACCCGCAAGGGUGUGGUGCACAGCCUGGGGGUGUGGCACGCUGCCCGCGAGGGUGUGGCGCACCACCCACAGGGGUGUGGAAUGUGGUCUGGGGGUGUGUCAUGCUGCCUGUGGGGGCAUGGCACCCGGCGCAUGGGGGGUGUGGCACGUGCCCAGGGGGGCACCGUGAUGGCACCCUGCUGGAAUAGUGGUGCUGUGGGUGGUCCGCUCCCUGCACACUCCCAUUCCUCCGCCAGUGGGUGAAGGCAACUUGAUGGGUCAGCUUCAGACUUCCUAUGAGAGGAGUUCUGAUCACAGGAAGCUCCCACCGAAGGAAGUGGGGAGGCAAUUUUUGCUACCUCCCUCUUCCCCUGCAGCCUCUCCAAUAUUUCCUGGUGGGUUGGAAGCCCUUCAGAGCUGGGGCUGCAUCUUCAGAGAUGGGGAAAACCAUCUCCUCGUCUUCCUCCAGCGUAGGUGUGGGGAAUCUUUAGUCCAACAGAUGUUACCGAACUAUAACUCCCAUUAUCCCUGGCCAUUUUCAUGCUUGCAGGGGAUGAUGAGAGUUCAGCAAUAUCUGGAGGACCAAAGGAUUUCUACACUUGUUCCAAUGGAACCCCACACUGAAUAGGAGUCUCUUCUGCAGAUGACUCCAAACUUAUGACUAUGUCUUUAAAUAGAUGGCUUUAAUUAAAUAUUAAAGCCAUUUAAGCCAGUAGCCAUCAUCACAUCUUAGAGCAGCAAAUUCCAUAAGUUAAUUCUGCAUUUCCCGAAGAUAUGUUUUCAUUUUCCUGCCUAACUCCACUGCCAGUCAAUUUGAUUUGAUGACCCCAAGUUCUAGUAUUGUGAAAGAGGAAGAUGUGUAUCUCUUUUCACUCUCUCCACUCCAUUAAUAACUUUACAAAACCAUCAUAUUUUUAAUUAAAAACUUCUAAACACUUUAGCCUUCGCUUAUAGGGCAACAUGCUUCAACAUCCCUUGAUUGUGUUUCUUUUCCAUGGUAGCCUUUUGGAUUUUUUAGAUUGGCACAUAGUAUUCCAAAUGCAGCCACACCAUCAAUGUUCAUAAAAGCAGGGGAAGGGCCAUAGCUCAGUGGUAGAACAUCUGCUUUGCAUCCAGAAAGCCCUGGGUUCAAUAUCAGGCAUCUCCAGUUUGGGCCAAGGUUGACCCAUCUGAAAUCCUGGAGAGUCAACCAGUGUUAAAAAUACUCCAGUAGUGGGAUCUAUGUGAACAUACAUUGUCUUAUACAGUAGUGGCAAUGGACUCUCCAGGUGUCUCUCCUAGCUUUCCCUGGUGUGUCUCUUCCAGAGAGAUGCCUCUCCAAGCUGUACCUGGAGAUGCCAAGGAUUGAACCUUUUUUGCAUGCAAAGCAUAUGCCCUGAGCCACAGCCCUUCCCUUUUAUCCUGGCUCCUGUGAUUCCUACCAUGAAUCUUGCCGUUCUCAGUACUACUGAGACAUUGGUGUUUUCAUUCCGUGGGCCACCACAAAAUCAAGAUCUCUUUCCUAGAUAGUCAUAACCUUUUCAGUUCCUACAUAUACAUAAGAUCUUUUGUCUUAAUGUGCAUCAGAUUAGGCUUAUAUUUUGUUGCCCAUUUACCCAGCUUCAGCCAUGGCUCAUGAGGUGAGUCGAAACCACUAGCUUCACUGCAGAUGUCCUGCUGUUGCUUAUUGGGAGGCAUGGGGUGGAAGAGAGGUUUUGAUGCUGCAGAUGAACUGGCAGGGAUUACACUUGCAUCACAUCAACCUCCCCUUGUCUCACCCCUCCCAGUAUGCAAGAGAUAACCACCUGCUGAAAGGCGAGCAUAGUGGCUCACCUGGCAAUCUGCUUCUGCCCAGUUUGGGGAGAUCCCUUUCAAGCUGUUUGAAUCAUCACCAUCCUGAAUUAUUUGGUGUCAUCCACUAACUAAGGCCCGUCCCUUCUCACUCCAGUAUCAUUUCUUUGAAGGUGAAAGAGUGAUGGUCCCUUGGGAAAUCUCACUGCUUAUUUCCUUCCAUUGUGAAAAGCGUCAGUUGACUCCCAUUUCAUUGUCUUUAACCAGUUAUUGAUCAGCAAGAGGACUUGUCCUCUUAUUCCCUGGCUGCAACGUUUCCUUAGACUCAGGAAGGGACUUUGUCAAAAUUCCAAGUUUAUAAUGCAGCAUAGGCAGUUCUUAUGAGGCUUUAAUGUUGAGUAAUAUUGUUAUAGUUAUAGUCAUUAUCAUUUCAGCAUGAGUAGCCAGUACUGCAUAAUUUAAUAAUAUUACAUGUCUUAGAAAAAUUAUUCAUCCUCCAGCCAUGAGUCAUGACAUGAGAUUUUAUUAGAAGAAAGACAAUAGAUUUAUUUGUAAAAUCUUUGCUGUGUUCUAGGAAUUCUGAUUUUUAAGUAAGUUUUCUAGACUGCACAAAGGCUUGCCAUGUUUUGACUAUGGUUGCAGCCCUUUGGGUAUAUUUCUUCACUUUAUUUAUUUCAAAACAAUGCAGUGAAAGGAAGCUCUAAGUACUGCUGCUUUUUGAGUUCUUCUUAUCCAACAAUUCUUUCCUUGUAUUUGAAGAAUUCGAUAGCUCCUUUCACACCAUCAAUGUAUAGUGGUGGAAGGGAAGUGGGCCUGUGCUGCUAGACCUGUCCCAAAUCUCAUGCCCUCCCCAACUUCACCCCCUCAGCAUCUGUACAGGAGCUGUAAUUCAUUUUUUCUGACCAAACCUGCCACACAUUACCAGGGAUAAGCUUCUUCGUAUCUACACAUCUAAACACUUUCCAGCUUCUCCAAAGAUGGAGCCAACACUUGCAGUUUCAGGAUAUUUCUCAGCAGUUGCUGUGGAAGAAAAAAACUAAUAAGGCUGGGCUCCUGCAUUGGCUAUCUCCAAAUUUCCUCUGUUGUUUUAAAGCUAAUCUAAUUGGCUGGCUAUCUCAGGAAUGGAUGUCAGGAUUCUGUGUAGCAUCAACUGAGGAAUAUCUUUGACAAAGUAGCCACUUCCUUAUGGUUUCAUCCUCUAGACUGUGGAUUGGCAAACCAGAUGUUCAGAGACCUUCAGACAAAUCCCCUCAGUUGGAUCUAGACAUUACCACUAACAGAAGGAUCUGUUUUUGGCAAUGAUUAAACUCAGCAGGAAGCGUCACAACGAAUUGUGCUAAAUGAAGCAUGACCUUACAAAGUCUUAAUACAGAUCAAACCGAUUUAGGUUUUUGUUCUGUUUCUCCCUUCAUGGUUCUGCACAUGAAGCACAAAAUAGACAGGAAGGUAGGGGAAAGGACAGAAAGAACAUUACAAUAAUGUGCCUACGUAUCUGUGGUUUCAAAGCUAAUUUAAAACCUUCAAACGAAAAGCAAAUGGUAGUGAUAUUGUUUACUACUGCCAUAAUCUUUCCAGCGCCUUCAGCAGUUUGUUUGGAUCAGGUUCUGAAUGUCUGCUAAGAAAUGGUUUGGAGAAGGAUAGUCAAGUUAAUUAAAUAAAGAUGGACAUGUGAAAAUAAUGGAAAUCCGCCAUGGAAAUGGCCUUGGGAACUGUGGCUGCUUAUUUUGAGGUCAUUCUAAAAGGAAGUUCAGUUUGAUGUAUCAAAACAGUUAGUACAUCAAAGCUCUGUACAGGAGUUGUUUAUAAGACUAUAUACUCUCCUGUGCAAAGACUUUGGCUAAAGUCACAAGUAGGGAUGGGGAAUCAAACAAAUUCAGUUCACAAUUAAAGGAGAACCUACCUAAUUCACACAUUUUGAAACAAUAUGUGCACUAAAGCAUAGAUUUUUCAAAAUUUACAUUUCUUCAAAUUUUGCAAUGCAUUUCUCCAGACAAGCAAUGUAUGCAAAAAUGCAUAUGUAAGGGCAAGGUGUGCACAAAACUGUGUAUACAGCUUAAAAUAGCAUAUAAAAUGCAUUAUAUUUGGGGAAAUUGCAUUGCAAAAAUGAGUUUCUUAGGCAAAACUGCGUACAAAAACAUGACAGUUACAAUAAAUCUGCGCUAAAAUGCUAAUGAAUUUUCAUGAGAACCUUAUACCCCCCCCCCAAUUUAUUUAUUUUUACAAACAGAUAUGGAAAUAUGGAGAACUGAAAAUUGGCAGCCAUCUCAGGUCACCUGGUGGUAAAAACACCCCUUCCCCAAUUGAAUGAACUUUCAGCUUUCUCCACAUGGACAUUAUUUCCCAAACCUGAAGAACAGCAUGGUUUAUCUUACAUUACCUACUGGAGCUGCUUUUGGAAUACCACUUUAUAAUAUCAAUGAAUAUUUGCAUGAUAUGAGAGCGUUACAAACCCUGCUGGAAAUCAUGAAUGUAAAUGAGUUAAUAAAAAAG